UGCCCCACUGACUGGAAAUGUUUUCUUCUAUCUUGCUGCCCCCCAAAAGUAUGGUUUCUAUUUCUAUUAUUUUAAUUCAGAAAAAAAAUAUGAGUUCAGUACAACAGAGUGUUCACCAAACUAUUAAUUCCAAAUGAGAAACUGACUAUCGCAACACCCAGUGAAGAAAGAAAAUAUUCGCAUGCUUUGGAAAGAGAGCCUAGAGACUGAAAUGGAAGAUAGGCAAUACACUCUGGGUUUGGAGCUGGGGAAGUUCAGUGGAUGUUGUGGUUGAAGUGCUUGGGAAAACUCAGCUCAGGAAGUUAUAAAAACUGGGACAUGUAAUGAAAAUACACACCCAACCAUAAUUAUAAUGCUGUUACAAGGCACUAUUAUUAAAUAAUAACUUCCAAGUGAGCUGGAUUUUGUCUCAUUCAAAAUCAUUGGUCUGAUGUAAGUCAGAGCAUUUACAGCAAA